rnacentral:rRNA from 1 species
GCGGGGCAACCUGGCGGCGAGUGGCGAACGGGUGAGUAAUAUAUCGGAACGUACCCAGAAGUGGGGGAUAACGUAGCGAAAGUUACGCUAAUACCGCAUACGAUCUACGGAUGAAAGUGGGGGACCUUCGGGCCUCAUGCUUUUGGAGCGGCCGAUAUCUGAUUAGCUAGUUGGUAGGGUAAAGGCCUACCAAGGCGACGAUCAGUAGCUGGUCUGAGAGGACGACCAGCCACACUGGGACUGAGACACAGCCCAGACUCCUACGGGAGGCAGCAGUGGGGAAUUUUGGACAAUGGGCGCAAGCCUGAUCCAGCAAUGCCGCGUGAGUGAAGAAGGCCUUCGGGUUGUAAAGCUCUUUUGUCAGGGAAGAAACGGCUGCGGCUAAUAUCCGCGGCUAAUGACGGUACCUGAAGAAUAAGCACCGGCUAACUACG